GCGCACUCGUUGCACGCGAGGCUACGCAUGGAGAUCAAUGGCAUUUGUCCUCGUCAGAAGAUGGCACUUUUUUCUUUAGCUCAUUACUACAUUGAGACACAGGUGUUCUGUGGCUCUUUGCGACGUUUUGUUUGUGAGCGAUUGAACCCGGAAGUUUCGUGCGUACACGGAAAAGUUUUGGUGCUAGAUAUUGCAUAUCGUGUGCUCAUGUAAUACUUUCUCGUGCUCACCAGAAUUAUUUUUUUCUUCUUCGCCUAUGUCCCUUUAAGGACGCCGUACACUCGGGACAGGUGUUGCUAGGCGAACUAGCGCAGGUAGUUUUUUUUGAGAGAGCUACGCCAGGUGAACUCUGCGUUUUUUUGUAUUGGCGAAACGUUUGGCUGUAUUGGAAAGUUAUGGACGACGCUAAUGGAUUUCAUCAUGACGCGCUGAACGACGUGAACGGGUGGAUCUGCUGAUGUUUUUCCUCAGUGAGGAAAACUUUCUCAGUGAGCAGUAUGGAGGUGUUGCUGUACUUCUUGCUGGUCUCGGAGCCCAGAGUGACGAACCUGAGCAGGAACAGAGACAGACUGGAGCACCAGAUCACCAGCUCCCAGUUAUAGUGACACUCGAGGAAAGUUUCGUGGACGUGCAGCAACUGUGGGAAGAGACGCGGAUACGCCAUCCGGUCCUCUCGGCCACACUGAGCAGGAAGAAGAACAGCCAUAUAAGGCAAACGCGCACCAGGAAGCUAAGUGUCACCAUGGUGAUGACCAAGGCAUCUGAUCCAGACCCGCCUCCCAGCGCCACAGACAGUAGCUCAUUGGCUGAGAGCGUAGUCAGCUGAUCCAAGUCGCGGUGCUGAGCAAGCCUGCACAGGUACGUUGAGUCUUGUUGAAAAGUGUUACACCAGCAGUACCUGUAUACGAAAGGUGUGAGGCCGAGCGUCACGGAGACCAGGUUCCCAAACACCUGGUACCCAAUACCAGGAGUGUAGAGAUUCACCUGCACAUGGAGGCAUAGAAAGACUGGUCGUCUCUGUAUUCCUUCUUGGCAGGAGGACAGACCGGCGUCCCUCCUCCUUCUCCCUCUGAAGAAAAGGUCAGUGUUAGUUUCAGUGGGAAAAAAACCCACAGAUCAUGUAAGAACAGGGACUUCGACGGGACGAUCUGCACUCAGCACAGUGCAGGAAGUCUUCCCACAUCAAGUCCUCCGUCUCGGACUCGUGUCGAGUGCUCUCAGAGUCGUGAGUCCUUAGACUGGAACAUCUGGAGCUGCAGCUGGUGCCGGACUUGGGGACAUCCUGACAGAAGGAAGGGGAGGAUUAUUUGUGAAAAUAAAUAAAUAAAUAAUGAUGACAAUAA